AUGUUUGAGCAGCGCUUGAAGGAUGCCAUCAAGCUGGUGGAGGAUGCCCGUGGCAAGCUCAUCCUCUUCAUAGACGAGAUGCACAUGAUUGUUGGUGCUGGCGACCGAGAUGGCACCGGGGACGCCGCCAACAUCCUCAAGCCGGCGUUGGCCCGUGGCCGCAUCCGUUGCAUAGGCGCUACCACAUCCGAAGAGUACCGCAGAUACAUCCAGAAGGAUGCGGCGCUCGAUCGGCGGUUCCAAAGGGUUGAUGUCGAGGAGCCGAGCGUGCCGGCGACCGUUGCCAUCCUGCAGGGGUUGAAGCACCGGUACCAAGACCACCAUGGACUGACAAUUCGCGACGAUGCUCUUGCUGCUGCUGCGCAGCUCGCUGGCCGCUAUAUUACCGGUCGCCAGUUUCCUGAUAAAGCAAUUGAUUUGAUGGACGAGGCAUGCACUACCGUGAAGUUGCAUAAGCAAAAAGAAGUUCAAAAUAAGGAUACUAACACUAUAAAUGCACCGGAAGAGUUAACCGUUGGUCCAUGCCAUAUUGCCCAGGUUGUGAGCCGAUGGACUAAAAUUCCGAUCACCACACUUGGUCGAGAGGAAGAGAAGUUGAGCCACCUAGCAGACAGAUUGCAUGAGAGGAUUGUUGGACAGUAUGAAGCGGUUAAUUUGGUUGCCCAAGAAGUGCUACGUUCUAGGGUCGGGUUUGAUCAAUCUGGCCAACCAAUUGGCUCUUUCCUCUUUUUGGGCCCGGCUGGUGUUGGAAAGACAGAGCUUGCGAAAGCACUUGCCGAUAAGUUGUUUGACAAUGAGAAGGCAUUAGUCCGCUUUGACAUGUCUGAAUAUGCCGAUAGUGGUUCUGUGUUACGUCUCAUUGGAGGACCUCGAAGGUUUAGCUUGUACACACAGAAAGUCAGGAGACAACCAUAUAGUGUCGUUCUUUUUGACGAGGUGGAUAAGGCACAUCCCUCAAUUUUCAAGGUUCUCAUUCAACUCCUCGAUGAUGGCACGUUGAUUGAUGGAAAGGAUCGGAACGUAUAUUUCAAGGACACUAUCAUAAUCAUGAGCUCUAAUCUUGGAGCCGAGAACCUAUCAGCUGGAACGGCUGGAGAAAACAUAGCCACUGCACGGGAUCUUCUCAUGAAACAGGUUGAGAAACGCCUUAAGCCUGAUUUUAUCAACAAACUGAGUGAAAUUGUGAUAUUUGAGGCACUUUCUCAUGACGAACUGAGGGAGAUCGUGAAAAUCCAGAUGAAGAGUGUCGUUGCUAUGGCCGCUAAGAAAGGCAUCUCUCUGUUUGCAACAGAUGCCGCCUUGGACAUCAUUUGGUCAGAAUCUCACGAUACGGUGUAUGGCGCAAGGCCUAUUAAGAGGUGGAUGAAGAAGAAUGUGACGAGAGUUCUUGUGGACAUGUUGGUCAAUGGAGAAGCGUGUCAAGGCUCAAUCAUCUGCAUCAAUGCCACUGACGACAAGAAGGGGCUGAAGUAG
rnacentral:rRNA from 1 species